rnacentral:rRNA from 1 species
UACAGGGGGUGCAAACGUUGCUCGGAAUUAUUGGGCGUAAAGCGCGCGUAGGCGGCUACUUAAGUCGGAUGUGAAAGCCCUUGGCUCAACUGAGGAAGUGCACCCGAAACUGAGUGGCUAGAGUACGAAAGAGGGUCGCGGAAUUCCCGGUGUAGAGGUGAAAUUCGUAGAUAUCGGGAGGAACACCGGUGGCGAAGGCGGCGACCUGGGUCGAUACUGACGCUGAGGCGCGAAAGCGUGGGGAGCGAACAGG